rnacentral:rRNA from 1 species
GACGAACGCUGGCGGCGUGCCUAAUACAUGCAAGUAGAACGCUGAAGGAGGAGCUUGCUUCUCUGGAUGAGUUGCGAACGGGUGAGUAACGCGUAGGUAACCUGCCUGGUAGCGGGGGAUAACUAUUGGAAACGAUAGCUAAUACCGCAUAAGAGUAGAUGUUGCAUGACAUUUGCUUAAAAGGUGCAAUUGCAUCACUACCAGAUGGACCUGCGUUGUAUUAGCUAGUUGGUGGGGUAACGGCUCACCAAGGCGACGAUACAUAGCCGACCUGAGAGGGUGAUCGGCCACACUGGGACUGAGACACGGCCCAGACGCCUACGGGAGGCAGCAGUAGGGAAUCUUCGGCAAUGGACGGAAGUCUGACCGAGCAACGCCGCGUGAGUGAAGAAGGUUGUCGGAUCGUAAAGCUCUGUUGUAAGAGAAGAACGAGUGUGAGAGUGGAAAGUUCACACUGUGACGGUAGCUUACCAGAAAGGGACGGCUAACUACGUG